rnacentral:rRNA from 1 species
AUUGAACGCUGGCGGCAUGCCUUACACAUGCAAGUCGAACGGCAGCACGGGUGCUUGCACCUGGUGGCGAGUGGCGAACGGGUGAGUAAUACAUCGGAACAUGUCCUGUAGUGGGGGAUAGCCCGGCGAAAGCCGGAUUAAUACCGCAUACGAUCUACGGAUGAAAGCGGGGGACCUUCGGGCCUCGCGCUAUAGGGUUGGCCGAUGGCUGAUUAGCUAGUUGGUGGGGUAAAGGCCUACCAAGGCGACGAUCAGUAGCUGGUCUGAGAGGACGACCAGCCACACUGGGACUGAGACACGGCCCAGAAUCCUACGGGAGGCAGCAGUGGGGAAUUUUGGACAAUGGGCGAAAGCCUGAUCCAGCAAUGCCGCGUGUGUGAAGAAGGCCUUCGGGUUGUAAAGCACUUUUGUCCGGAAAGAAAUCCUUGGCCCUAAUACGGUCGGGGGAUGACGGUACCGGAAGAAUAAGCACCGGCUAACUACGUG